UACGUAGGGGGCAAGCGUUGUCCGGAAUCAUUGGGCGUAAAGCGCGUGUAGGCGGCCAGAAAAGUCCGCUGUGAAAACUCGAGGCUCAACUUCGAGCUGUCGGUGGAAACUUUCUGGCUAGAGUCCGGAAGAGGAGAAUGGAAUUCCUGGUGUAGCGGUGAAAUGCGCAGAUAUCAGGAAGAACACCGGUGGCGAAGGCGGGUCUCUGGGCCGAUAUUGACGCUGAGGAGCGAAAGCGUGGGGAGCGAACAGG
rnacentral:rRNA from 1 species